rnacentral:lncRNA from 1 species
CUCUUUCUCUAAAACUGGUCGAGGGCUCCUCCAGGCAGUCAGCUUUCCAUGCUAAUCCUUCAUCUGGUAGCUCAGGCAUGAACUCUAGCCACAGUCCAAUCCAUGCAGUUUAGUGGGGUGCAUUCUCAUGAUAUGUUUCCUGUUAAUAUAUGAUAAUCAUAAUGUUAUGUAGUUUGGUUGGGUUAGUUAUAGUUCUAUUUGUUGGGUUCUUUUCCUGUUAAUAUAUGAUAAUCAUAAUGUUAUGUAGUUUGGUUGGGUUAGUUAUAGUUCUAUUUGUGUGGUCGAUCUUAAUAAGAUUCAUUUAGGGGUUAACGGCAUAGUUGUCAGUACUCUCGUAGCUUGUAGGCACUCUUGUUUUGAAGUAUUCAAGUUGUUGACAUUUCGACUUUGAGUCAAAAAAUUUCGUUCUCCUGCUUUGUGUUCUUUUAAUCUUUGUUUUGAGUGUUGCGACUGUGAAUAUUGAGGUAGUGAAGUACAUUUUUUCCUCUUUUAUUGGAGGAGGUGCUAUUAUGCUAAAGAAUGCUUUACCUCUUCAGCCCAGAUAUAAAGAAGCAAGGGUUCUUGUUCUCUGCAUGAUAUCCUAAACCUGGCAGCACAUAUAAAAGUUUGUGGAGAUGAAGCUGUAGUUCUGUGAAUGACUCAAUUGUUGAAUAAAGUUUUGUGCAAGUACUUUUAGCUGAAUACUGGUAUCAACUUGUCAAGAGUAUGACUAUUACAUAAUGAAGAUAGUUUAAAAGAAUGGAAGGACUGAAAGAGGAUGUUCUUCGCUGAGCUUUUAUAACUUGAAAAGGUGCUUUGAAGUCUUUUUGGAUCUGAAUGUCGGAAUCAUAUCUUAGUAUGUUCCGCUAUAGAAAUUCUGUUCUGGGUUGUUGAUAAGUUCGUGUGGAGAAAACAAUGGAUGAGUUAAAGAUAUUGGUUUUCUGUCUUUUCCUUGUAGGUCU